rnacentral:rRNA from 1 species
UUAAGUGACGAAGCGUAUACGGUGGAUGCCUUGGCAGUUAGAGGCGAUGAAGGACGUGUAAGUCUGCGAAAAGCUGUGGUGAGCCGACAAAAUGCAUUUGAGCCACAGAUGUCCGAAUGGGGAAACCCACCUGUUUACAGGUAUCGUUACAUGAAUACAUAGUGUAACGAGGCGAACGAGGGGAACUGAAACAUCUAAGUACCCUUAGGAAAAGAAAUCAAACGAGAUUCCCCUAGUAGCGGCGAGCGAACGGGGAACAGCCCUUAAGCUGUUUAGUGUGUAGUGGAAUCCUUUGGGAAGAGGAGCGAUACAGGGUGAUAGCCCCGUACACGUAGCGUGCUUUACAGUGAAAUCGAGUAGGUCGGGACACGUGUUAUCUUGACUGAAUAUGGGGGGACCAUCCUCCAAGGCUAAAUACUCCUAACUGACCGAUAGUGAACCAGUACCGUGAGGGAAAGGCGAAAAGAACCCCUGUGAGGGGAGUGAAAUAGAACCUGAAACCGUAUACGUACAAGCAGUGGGAGCCCUUCGGGGUGACUGCGUACCUUUUGUAUAAUGGGUCAGCGACUUAUAUUUAGUAGCAAGGUUAAGCGAAUAGCGGAGCCGUAGCGAAAGCGAGUGUUAACUGCGCGUUGAGUUGCUAGGUAUAGACCCGAAACCCGGUGAUCUAGCCAUGAGCAGGUUGAAGGUUGAGUAACAUCAACUGGAGGACCGAACCCACUGACGUUGAAAAGUCAGGGGAUGACUUGUGGCUGGGGGUGAAAGGCCAAUCAAACCGGGAGAUAGCUGGUUCUCCCCGAAAUCUAUUUAGGUAGAGCCUCGGACGAAUUCCAUUGGGGGUAGAGCACUGUUAAGGCUAGGGGGUCAUCCCGACUUACCAACCCUUUGCAAACUCCGAAUACCAAUGAGAACUAUCCGGGAGACACACGGCGGGUGCUAACGUCCGUCGUGGAGAGGGAAACAACCCAGACCGCCAGCUAAGGUCCCAAAAUAUUGCUAAGUGGGAAACGAUGUGGGAAGGCACAGACAGCUAGGAGGUUGGCUUAGAAGCAGCCACCCUUUAAAGAAAGCGUAAUAGCUCACUAGUCGAGUCGGCCUGCGCGGAAGAUGUAACGGGGCUAAGCAAUAUACCGAAGCUGCGGCAGCAAGUUUACUUGCUGGGUAGGGGAGCGUUGUGUAAGUGGAUGAAGGUGAGUUGUAAAGCUUGCUGGACAUAUCACAAGUGCGAAUGCUGACAUGAGUAACGAUAAUGGGAGUGAAAAACUCCCACGCCGGAAGACCAAGGUUUCCUGUCCCAUGCUAAUCAGGGCAGGGUAAGUCGGCCCCUAAGGCGAGGCAGAAAUGCGUAGUCGAUGGGAAACGGAUUAAUAUUUCCGUACUUAUAUAAUCAGUGAUGGAGGGACGGAGAAGGCUAGGCAAGCUUGGCGUUGGUUGUCCAAGUGAAAGUGCGUAGACCGAGAGCUUAGGUAAAUCCGGGUUCUUAAAGUCGAGACACGAGACGAGCCACCAAGGUGGUGAAGUUGUUGAUGCCCUGCUUCCAGGAAAAGCUUCUAAACUUAUGAUUAUAUGAACCGUACCCCAAACCGACACAGGU